CCUACGGGAGGCAGCAGUGAGGAAUAUUGGUCAAUGGACGAGAGUCUGAACCAGCCAAGUAGCGUGAAGGAUGACUGCCCUAUGGGUUGUAAACUUCUUUUAUAUGGGAAUAAAAUGUUCCACGUGUGGGUUUUUGUAUGUACCCUAUGAAUAAGGAUCGGCUAACUCCGUGCCAGCAGCCGCGGGAAUACGGUGGAUCCGAGCGUUAUCCGGAUUUAUUGGGUUUAAAGGGAGCGUAGGUGGGUUGUUAAGUCAGUUGUGAAAGUUUGCGGCUCAACCGUAAAAUUGCAGUUGAAACUGGCAGUCUUGAGUACAGUAGAGGUAGGCGGAAUGCGUGGUGUAGCGGUGAAAUGCAUAGAUAUCACGCAGAACUCCGAUUGCGAAGGCAGCAUACCGGCGCUCAAUUGACGCUCAGGCACGAAAGUGUGGGUAUCGAACAGGAUUAGAUACCCCGGUAGUC
rnacentral:rRNA from 1 species